rnacentral:rRNA from 1 species
ACGGCGAGUGAAGCGGCAACAGCUCAAAUUUGAAAGCUGGCCUUCGGGUCCGCAUUGUAAUUUGUAGAGGAUGCUUUGGGUGAAACGCCAGUCUAAGUUCCUUGGAACAGGACGUCAUAGAGGGUGAGAAUCCCGUAUGUGACUGGAAAUGUUAACCUAUGUAAAGCUCCUUCGACGAGUCGAGUUGUUUGGGAAUGCAGCUCUAAAUGGGAGGUAAAUUUCUUCUAAAGCUAAAUAUUGGCGAGAGACCGAUAGCGCACAAGUAGAGUGAUCGAAAGAUGAAAAGCACUUUGGAAAGAGAGUUAAAAAGCACGUGAAAUUGUUGAAAGGGAAGCGCUUGCAAUCAGACUUGUUUAAACUGUUCGGCCGGUCUUCUGACCGGUUUACUCAGUUUGGACAGGCCAGCAUCAGUUUCGGCGGCCGGAUAAAGGCUCUGGGAAUGUGGCCUUCACUUCGGUGAAGGUGUUAUAGCCCAGGGUGUAAUACGGCCAGCCGGGACUGAGGUCCGCGCUUCGGCUAGGAUGCUGGCGUAAUGGUUGUAAGCGACCCGU